rnacentral:lncRNA from 1 species
CCUACAGAAAGGUUAACUUUUGAUUGUGUUAUAUUUAAUAUACAAUCAAGUGUACUUUACAGGAUUUGGAGGAUUUGGAGAUGAUAGAGCCAGUAAAAGAAAUAUAGAUCUCUGAGUGACACAAAGGAAUAUGAGACAUACAAGAAAGAAACCUCGUGUUCAACAUAGAAAUGGAAGAAAUGGAAAUGUUUAAUUACUCUUGAAGAAAUAAAACACGAACCUGUG